ensembl:lncRNA LINC02569 long intergenic non-protein coding RNA 2569
AGAACGACCGAGUUUCUCUCAGCCGAGAACUGUGGCUGCCCCUCCGGUGAAAACAGAGGAAGUGGGAGCGGCAGGAAGCGCUUUGGGACCAGGGCGACCCCUGAAGCGUAGAGGAACCAGGUCACAAGCAUACGUGAAUGCUCACAUUCCAUAGUUAUCAAAUGUAUUCAGGUUUAAAUUUUACUUUUCUAGAAAAAAUGUAAAUAAUCCGUUGAGAAUAUUUAAUGAAAAAUGUUGGUCGUAUCUUUAUCUGGUCUGCGGCUCUGUCCCUGUUUCCUGGAUAGGAGACUACGUCUGUAUCUUGUAUCACAGGAGGCACCUUCUUCCUGUUUCCUGGCACAGACUUUAAAUCUUAGUGCUCCUCACUCUUUGCGUCUACGCUGCUUUUAUGAACUGUUAACACUCACUGUGAAGGUCUGCAGCUUCACUCCUUAAGCCAGCGAGACCACAAACCCACUGGGAGGGAUAAACAACUCCAGACGGGAGGAACAAACAACUUCGGGUGCACCACCUUUAUGAACUGUAGCACUCACUGCGAAGGUCUGCAGCUUCACUCCUGAGGCCAGCAAGACCACGAACCCACCAGAAGGAACGAACAACUCCAGAUAUGCCACCUUUAAGGGCUAUAACACUCACCGCGGAAGUCUGCAGCUUCACUCCUGAAGUCAGUGAGACCAUGAACCCACCAGAAGGAAGAAACUCUGGACACAUCUGAACAUCUGAAGGAACAAACUCUGGACACACCAUCUUUAAGAACUGUAACACUCACCGCGAGGGUACACGGCUUCAUUCUUGAAGUCAGCGAGACUAAGAACCCAACAAUUCCGGACACAGCAUGAUCUUGGUUCACU